rnacentral:rRNA from 1 species
AUGGCAUCCCAGCUGGUCGAGAGCCACCGCGCCGGUGCCGAGGUCCACAAGGGGAGCGAUAUCUGCAAGAAGAAGACGGUCGAGCUUCUCGAAGAGCUCGGCCUCCCAAAAGGCCUCUUUCCUAUGGAUGACAUCGAGGAGGUCGGGCACAACUGUGAGAGUGGGUUUGUGUGGAUGCUUCAGAAGAAGAAGAACGAGCACACCUUCAAGAAGAUCAACCAGACCGUCUCCUACGACACCGAGGUGACCUCUUUUGUGGAGAAGGGCAAGAUGAAGAAGAAAGAGCACACAUUCAAGAAGAUCAACCAGACCGUCUCCUACGACACCGAGGUGACCGCUUUUGUGGAGAAGGGCAAGAUGAAGAAGGUCACCGGGGUCAAGAUCGAGGAGGUGUCUUUGGUCGACGUCUAUGUGGAUGAGUCUUCUGCUGAUAAGGUCACCGUCAAGACCGACACCGGUCUGUCUGACACCCAUGAUGCGGCCGUGUUCGCUCUUGGGGAAUAG